rnacentral:lncRNA from 1 species
UUGUUGUUAGUUGGUUCCAAACCCUCGCAAUCAAUAUUUCACCAAAUUAUUUCCCUGAAAAGCAUCCCAAACAUCCUUUACAAGAUUGAUACAUAUUCUAUUUUUUGCUGUAAAACCAAGGAGUAAAAUAACACAAGUUACCUACAUGAUACAGUGGAGAGGUAGGAUACAAAUCAUAGAAAUAGCAAAUUGUAUGAUCUAAUACCCUUGGCAUACAACCUCACAAAUAAAUUUGGAACCAAUCGCGAGGCCAGUAGGGUCAAAAUUCGCAUUCAUUUGGAAUAACCAGCUCAUGGUUAUCCAGAUUUAGCCGGCAGGAUUGCGCAUUUUCAAGCAUGAUAUGAAUCAUCCUGUGAACACACCUCGAGUUGGCAGCGACAUCCUCGCAUACUGAAUCGCCAGCGGACCCAUCGCCGGCAUCACACCACCAUCGGUGCAGCAGUUUCGGAAUUUCCAGCCACGACUUCUUCGAAACACCGCAAGGAUUUCUCAGUCAGGCGAAGCAGGUGAUGGACCACCGGUGGCCGGUGAUGGGUCGGUGUAGAAGAGUAGUGGCAUCCGAUCCUUCAAGCGAGGUGGGCGGUGGCCGGCGGCUCCGAUCCCACGGGUGAGGCUGGCGGCUCCGAUCCCGCAGGUGAGGAGGGCGGCGGUGUUCGAGCGGACUGUGCCGCGGAGGAGAGGGUCGUGCAUGAGGCGGCAGCCGGGAUCCCGCCGAUGAGAAGGGGGCGGCGUUCAACCUGGCUGGGCCGGGUGGAUCGGAGGAGAGCCGAUCUGGUGGUGGCGAGAAUUGUGGAGGGGAUGGGAGAAAGAGAAACUGGAAGAGGAUACGGGGUGGAGCGAUUGCUGGGUGCGGGAUAAGAUCGUG